CCCCCAGACUCCUACGGGAGGCAGCAGUGGGGAAUAUUGCACAAUGGGGGGAACCCUGAUGCAGCGACGCCGCGUGGGUGAAGAAGUCAUUCGUGACGUAAAGCCCUAUCAGCAGGGAAGAAAAUGACGGUACCUGACUAAGAAGCCCCGGCUAACUACGUGCCAGCAGCCGCGGUAAUACGGAGGAUGCGAGCGUUAUCCGGAUUUAUUGGGUUUAAAGGGUGCGUAGGCGGUCCGGAAAGUCAGCGGUAAAGGCCCGGGGCUCAACCCCGGCGAGCCGUUGAAACUGUCGGACUAGAGACGGCGAGAAGUACGCGGAAUGCGCGGUGUAGCGGUGAAAUGCAUAGAUAUCGCGCAGAACUCCGAUUGCGAAGGCAGCGUACCGGCGCCGGACUGACGCUGAGGCACGAAAGCGUGGGUAUCGAACAGGAUUAGAUACCCGUGUA
rnacentral:rRNA from 1 species